GUGCUCACUUCAACAGUACAUAUAUUAAAAUUGGAACAAUACAGAGAAGAUUAGCAUGGUCCCUACACAAAGAUGACAUGCAAAUUUGUGAAGUGUUCCAUGUUUUU
ensembl:snRNA U6 U6 spliceosomal RNA